rnacentral:lncRNA from 1 species
UUUUUAUCUACUUUUAGAUGUGACUUUUUGAUGUUUGAUUCAUGUCACAAUUGGUUUUCAUUUUCCUUUAUUGAUUAAUCCCAAAGUACAGAUUUGUGUAUAUUAAUAAGCAAUGUUUGUGAUCAUGUUUAUGGCAAUUCAGGGCAUCCACCUCCGUAUCCUCCACCUGGCUAUCCACCUCCACCACCUUACCCUCCACCGCCGCCACCACCUCCGCCCUAUUAUCAAGACUACUUCUACCCUCCACCCCCGCCUCCUCCUCCCCAGGACAACCGCCAAGAUGACAGUGGCUGCUCUUC